AUACUGGGCCUUCUCAGGUCUUGUAAUUGGAAUGAGUACAAUUUAAAAACCUUAACGAGGAACAAGUGGAGGGCAAGUCUGGUGCCAGCAGCCGCGGUAAUUCCAGCUCCACUAGUGUAUAUUAAAGUUGUUGCGGUUAAAAAGCUCGUAGUUGAACCGCGGGUCGGGGGGGUUGGGCUUCUCCGUAGGGGAUCUUCCCUCAGGGGAAGAUCUGUCCGCGGGGAGCGAAAGCCUCUCCCCUCCGCCCAACGAUACUUUCCGGAGCAAUCGGGGGCUCCGUCUUUCCUCUCUCGUCUUCGGGCGGGAGGGGGGGGGCGGGGUCUCGCCCCGGAUAUGUUACUUUGAAGAAAUUUGAGUGUUCAAAGCAGGCAUAAAUUUGCCUUGAAGACGUUAGCAUGGGAUAACGAAAGAUGACCUUGAGCCCGACCUUCGUUGGUUCUUCGAGCUUAGGUAAUGAUUAAUAGGGACGGUCGGGGUCGCUGGUACCGAGUGGCUAGAGGUGAAAUUCUAUGACCCACUCGAGACCGACAAAAGCGAAAGCAUUCGACAAGGAUGUUUUCAUUAAUCAAGAACGAAAGUAGAGGGAUCGAAGAUGAUCAGAUACCGUCGUAGUCUCUACCGUAAACGAUGACGACUCGGGAUCUGAGGGCGUUACAUGGAUGACCCCUCAGGCACCGUGUGAGAAAUCAUAAGUAUCCAGUCUCCGGGGGGAGUAUGGUCGCAAGGCUGAAACUUAAAGGAAUUGACGGAAGGGCACCACCAGGCGUGGAAUUUGCGGCUUAAUUUGACCCAACACGGGGAAACUUACCAAGUCCGAGCACAACGAGGAUUGACAGAUUGAUAGCUCUUUCUUGAUUUUGUGAAGAGUGGUGCAUGGCCGUUUUUAGUUGGUGGAGUGAUCUGUCUGGUUAAUUCCGUUAACGAACGAGACCUUAACCUAUUAAAUAGAGGCACGGACGCGGAAGUUCGGGAAGGUUUCGGCCGACUCGGCUUUCACACUUUGAUCCGCGCAUAAAUUACUUCUUAGAGGGACAAUUCGCUAUUAAGCGAAAUGAAGUUUAGGGCAAAAACAGGUCUGUGAUGCCCUCAGAUGUUUUGGGCUGCACGCGUAUUACACUGUUGAGUGUAACGAGUCUAACAGAACAACCCUAGCCCGGAGGGGUGGGGUAAGCUUCUAAAGCUCAACGUGACGGGGAUUGUGCCUUGUAAUUAUUGCACAUGAACGAGGAAUGCCUAGUAAGCGUGAGUCAUCAACUCGCGCUGAUUACGUCCCUGCCCUUUGUACACACCGCCCGUCGCUCCUACCGAUUGAACGGCCCGAUGAGGACUCGGGACGGAGGGUGGCCGGGCGGCCGAAAGGCCGUUCCGUUCGCCAGCCGGAACCUGUUCAAAUCUUGUCGUUUAGAGGAAGGAGA
rnacentral:rRNA from 1 species